GGCCUUUCCAGACGCGGGCGUUGUGCCUAUAUUCCUCGGUGCCGGUGAAAGCCGGCUAUGGCGAUAAACUGACGGUGUAAUAAACCAUUCGGACCCGGGGGCGGUACCCGGCGCCUCCACCGGAAGCUCUCUCCUCAUCCCGCCGACAGGCGGCGACGAGGGAUCGGAGAGCUUGCGGCGGGGGCGAAAUAGGAUCGACGAGGGUGUAAAGAUCGGACUUUCGCUCGGCAUUGUACCGCCGUUAUCGGGCUAUUUUUAUAGUUGCCAACGACAACUAUGCGGAAGUCCGUCUCGCUGCUUAAGGCAGCGCGAUAGCUUCGAAUCAAGCCCUGGGGGUUCGCACUUCUAGGCGGGGUCCGGAGGCACCUGGCAACAGAAGCCUCUACU
rnacentral:tmRNA from 1 species